GAGUCUGUGGCUCAGCCAUCGUGACUAUGUAACCAGUAUUGGUCGGUGGCCCAAGGUCUCUCUCCUUUCAGGGUUCAACCUCCAACCUUAUUUCUGCUUCCUUCAUGUUGGAAUUCACACUGUGAGAAUUGUUGUCAUCCUUUCUCUACGACUCCAAGAGAAACUUUAUACUGGAGGAAGAAUAUUCUACCACUUUGGGAUGCUUCCAAAGAAAUGGGAUACCAAAGGAGUGAACUUCAGGUCAUUGGAAGUGGCCAAGCUGGAGGGCGACCUAUGGAGACAUGACCUUCAGUUCUUCCUGAGAUCGAUAAAGCUUAAAAGAAAAGAAAAAGCCAACUCAGCUUGUGCGUGGAUCCUGGACCUUGCUCUAAUACAGACCCCGCUCCUGGAGUGGCUGAACUGAAAGGACACUUGAUUGUCCUACAAUGAUGGAGCUAUAGAGUAUGGAGACCCAAGAUUAACCUUUCCAAAGCACACGCUGGGAAUUACUCUGGGUGUGGGUGUGGAGAAAGGAGAGAAAAACUGAGAAACUCAGAGACAGAGUUUGAAGAGGACUUUGUAAGUGAAGGUUUUUACCAUCCCUUGGUAAGUGUGUCCCUUUAAGGAAGAAAGGGGCUGGCUCCCAUUUGGAUCUACACAUCCCUGGGGAAGAUAUCAGAAUUUUCCAUUAAUAAACUUAGGAGUUUUAAGAUCCAUAAA
ensembl:lncRNA novel transcript